rnacentral:rRNA from 1 species
GCGGCAUGCUUAACACAUGUCAAGUCGAACGGAAACGACAGGAGCUUGCUCCUGGGCGUCGAGUGGCGGACGGGUGAGUAACGCGUGGGAAUCUACCCAGUAGUGGGGGAUAGCCAGGAGAAAUCCUGAUUAAUACCGCAUACGAUCUACGGAUGAAAGGUGGCCUCUGCUUGCAUGCUAUCGCUAUUGGAUGAGCCCGCGUAAGAUUAGCUAGUUGGUGGGGUAAGAGCCUACCAAGGCAACGAUCUUUAGCUGGUCUGAGAGGACGACCAGCCACAUCGGGACUGGGACACGGCCCGGACUCCUACGGGAGGCAGCAGUGGGGAAUAUUGGACAAUGGGCGCAAGCCUGAUCCAGCAAUGCCGCGUGUGAGAAGAAGGCCCGAGGGUUGUAAAGCACUUUCAAUUGUGAAGAAGGUAGUAAGCUUAAUACGCUUGCUGCUUGACGUUAACUUUAGAAGAAGCACCGGCUAACUCUGUGCCAGCAGCCGCGGUAAUACAGAGGGUGCGAGCGUUAAUCGGAAUUACUGGGCGUAAAGCGCGCGUAGGCGGCUAGAUAAGUCAGAUGUGAAAUCCCCGGGCUCAACCUGGGAACUGCCUCUGAUACUGUUUAGCUAGAGUUUUGGAGAGGGAAGUAGAAUUUCAGGUGUAGCGGUGAAAUGCAUAGAGAUCUGAAGGAAUACCAGUGGCGAAGGCGACUUCCUGGCCAAAAACUGACGCUGAGGUGCGAAAGCGUGGGUAGCAAACGGGAUUGGAUACCCCGGUAGUCCACGCCGUAAACGAUGUCUACUAGUCGUUGGACCCCUUGAGGGUUUAGUGACGCAGCUAACGCAUUAAGUAGACCGCCUGGGGAGUACGGUCGCAAGACUAAAACUCAAAGGAAUUGACGGGGGCCCACACAAGCGGUGGAGCAUGUGGUUUAAUUCGAUGCAACGCGAAGAACCUUACCAUCCCUUGACAUCCUCAGAACUUGUAAGAAAUUACUUGGUGCCUUCGGGAACUGAGUGACAGGUGCUGCACGGCUGUCGUCAGCUCGUGUCGUGAGAUGUUGGGUUAAGUC